GAGCCCCUCUGCCUAGCACUGCUCCCCCAAGGCUCCCAGAAAUCUCAGGUCAGAGGCACGGACAGCCUCUGGAGCUCUCGUCUGGUGGGACCAUGAACUGCCAGCAGCUGUGGCUGGGCUUCCUACUCCCCAUGACAGUCUCAGGCCGGGUCCUGGGGCUUGCAGAGGUGGCGCCUGUGGACUACCUGUCACAAUAUGGGUACCUACAGAAGCCUCUAGAAGGAUCUAAUAACUUCAAGCCAGAAGAUAUCACCGAGGCUCUGAGAUAUGUUCAGGUCCCUUGAAAAGCCCCUAGGCCCUAUGACAGUCCAUAGAUGGAUGAAAUUGCUCCAGGGCAAGCUGGGCUGGGACGGGUAUCCAUUCAGGAAGGGAGAAGGCUGAAGGAGGACAGGCUGUCAGGUGGGAGCACUAGUGGAAAGCUCUCCAGAGCAGGGGAGCCAGACACCUCCACAGAGUAGGAGAAGGUUAGAAAUUGCAGUAGAGGGGCUGGGCAUGGUGGCUCACGCCUGUAAUCCCAGCACUUUGGGAGAUCCAGGCAGGGGGAUUGCUUGAGCCCAGAAGUUUGACAGCAACCUGGGCAACAUAAUGAGACCCCAUCUCUACCAAAAAAGAAAGAAAGGAAGAAAGAAAGAGAGAAGAAAAAGAAAGGAAGGAAGGAAGGAAGGAAGGAAGGAAGGAAGGAAGGAAGGAAGAUUGCAGUAGAGGAGGAAGGCUACACCUGAGGGCAAACUUACUCAAAUAAAAGACACUGAAAAUGGGGAGAUGAAGCUGGAGUAUCUCCAUUUCUGCAGAACAGAAGAGAAAGUCCCAGUUAUGAGGACUGGAGGCUGGAGUAACCCUGUCAGCUUCAGGGAUUCUGUGCUAUUCUUGGCCAUGAACUUGGGCAGCAGGAAGUCAAAGAGCAAUCAUCUCCCAGUCAUUUCAGAUUUUCCUGUCCUGGUAGACCCAUCCCUCUCCCUCCUUCAGAGCUUUUCAGGAAGCAUCUGAACUUCCAGUCUCAGGUCAGCUGGAUGAUGCCACAAGGGCCCGCAUGAGGCAGCCUCGUUGUGGCCUAGAGGAUCCCUUCAACCAGAAGA
rnacentral:lncRNA from 1 species